ACCCAACCCGUGGUAUUCCAAUAGCUGCCUAACCGACUAGCACAUAAUUCUAGGCAGAAAAAGAGUGGGGAGUGGGAGAUAUGAAGAAGGAAAAAAAAAAAAGCAAGCAGUAUAAAAACCUGAAGACAGAUAAACAAGGCAUUAUGGAACUAGAAUGUUGAAACUAAGUCAUUUUGGAUCCUCUCCAAAGAAGAAAGAAGGAAGAACAACACUUAACAAUCAUUUAGCUAUUAAACUCCACAAGGCAUCUCAUCUUUUCCCAGCCUCCUUGCCAGCAUCAGAGAGAUACCCUGUUUGAAAGGUCAUCACUCUGCAGAAGCUCAUCUGAAGUGUGCAGAGGCAGGAUGAGUCCAAGCAGUCUCCUAUAAAACUUGCAGCAUUUUGAGGAUGGAGUGUCUUCUCUGGUUUCAGGUUGAAAUUCCACACUCUCCAAGAGCAAUAAUCUCCUUCCUUCCUUGGCUAUUUCAACCUUCAUAUACUUGUGGGCAAGAACAUUUCCCUGGGAAUCUUCCCGGAUUUUCAUAGUCUUCCUGAAUGUGUCCUAAAGUGAUCAUUGGGAGUUGUUAAGUUACCCAGGAGGCCAAAAUGAUAGGAUUUAUUUAAUCAGCAAACCCAAACCCAAAAGCGUUCCGCUGAUUCUUGUAAUUCUAGCCAUGCCAUGUCUUCCCCUAUGUUAACAAGGUGCCAAAUAUGGAAAUGGUAUUCCAGGUGAGGCCUCACCAGGAUCCCGAGCCGUGAAAAUGUUCCUUUGUUCAUGUGCAAAAUGAAGAUUUUCCUCCUGCUGUCGAAAUCAAACCAAACUCAUUAAAUAUCAUGUUACAAACUCCUA